rnacentral:siRNA from 1 species
CCGUGCCGCUAAAGCCACUGC